UACGUAGGGUGCAAGCGUUGUCCGGAAUUAUUGGGCGUAAAGAGCUUGUAGGCGUUUUGUCGCGUCUGCUGUGAAAUUUCGGGGCUCAACCCCGAACUUGCAGUGGGUACGGGCAGACUAGAGUGUGGUAGGGGAGACUGGAAUUCCCGGUGUAGCGGUGAAAUGCGCAGAUAUCGGGAGGAACACCGGUGGCGAAGGCGGUUCUCUGGGCCUUACCUGACGCUGAGGAGCGAAAGCGUGGGUAGCGAACAGG
rnacentral:rRNA from 1 species